rnacentral:tRNA from 1 species
AUUAAAAUGGCAGAAAUUACAGUGCGUUGGGUUUAAGAUCCAUCUAUAGAUAAAAUCUUUUUAAAA